GUGUGAUUGAAAAUGAGUACUGUAGAAAAAAUAAUGUGAUAGAAUGAUUGUCAAACAAACGCAUAAAUAAAUUGUUGAUAGUAAAAGAAAAUUGUCAACCUCGUCCACAUUUGGGGUCCAAAAUUUCUAAACCUCCAACCUAGCUUCUAACCAUAGAACAAAAAGAAACUAGACUAAUACAACCUUUUUGUCCAAGAGCGAAUUAAAAAACAAAAACAAAAAAAAAUCCAAGUAAGAGAGGGUUGCAUCUUGUGAUUUCCUCUGUUCGCUGAAUUGGAGAACGAGUUUUGACAAACUUCAAGACCAAGCGAAGUUUGCAGUAGAAGAAACGAACUAUGAUAUAUCAGUUCAACAUCAGGCAAGUUCACAAGAACCAUAAACGCAGGGACUUUCUGUCUUGUGGCCAUAUUCACCUUAAUAGUCUACCAUUUCAGGAAGCUCGAGUUUUCCAGCAUAGACAUACUGCAUCUCUGCCUUCCAUGUCUGCAGAAGAGAGAAUCAUUUU
rnacentral:lncRNA from 1 species